AGAGUUUGAUCCUGGCUCAGGAUGAACGCUAGCGGCAGGCUUAACACAUGCAAGUCGAGGGGCAUCGGGAGGGAAGCUUGCUUUCCUUGCCGGCGACCGGCGCACGGGUGAGUAACACGUAUGCAACCUGCCCCCUUCAGGGGGACAACCUUCCGAAAGGGAGGCUAAUCCCGCGUAUAUCGGUUUCGGGCAUCCGAGAUCGAGGAAAGAUUCAUCGGAAGAGGAUGGGCAUGCGGCGCAUUAGCUAGACGGCGGGGUAACGGCCCACCGUGGCGACGAUGCGUAGGGGUUCUGAGAGGAAGGUCCCCCACACUGGUACUGAGACACGGACCAGACUCCUACGGGAGGCAGCAGUGAGGAAUAUUGGUCAAUGGGAGAGAUCCUGAACCAGCCAAGCCGCGUGAGGGAAGACGGCCCUAUGGGUUGUAAACCUCUUUUGUCAGAGAACAAAACCCGGGACGAGUCCCGGACUGCGUGUAUCCGAAGAAAAAGCAUCGGCUAACUCCGUGCCAGCAGCCGCGGUAAUACGGAGGAUGCGAGCGUUAUCCGGAUUUAUUGGGUUUAAAGGGUGCGUAGGCGGUCCGUUAAGUCAGCGGUAAAAUUGCGGGGCUCAACCCCGUCGAGCCGUUGAAACUGGCAGACUUGAGUUGGCGAGAAAUACGGCGGAAUGCGCGGUGUAGCGGUGAAAUGCAUAGAUAUCGCGCAGAACUCUGAUUGCGAAAGGCAGCGUACCGGCGCCAGACUGACGCUGAGGCACGAAAGCGUGGGGAUCGAACAGGAUUAGAUACCCUGGUAGUCCACGCAGUAAACGAUGAAUGCUGGUUGUCCGGGUCGAAUGAGACCUGGGCGGCGAAGCGAAAGCGAUAAGCAUUCCACCUGGGGAGUACGCCGGCAACGGUGAAACUCAAAGGAAUUGACGGGGGCCCGCACAAGCGGAGGAACAUGUGGUUUAAUUCGAUGAUACGCGAGGAACCUUACCCGGGCUCAAACGGGAGUGGAAUGGAUCAGAGACGGUUCAGCCUACGGGCCGCUUCCGAGGUGCUGCAUGGUUGUCGUCAGCUCGUGCCGUGAGGUGUCGGCUUAAGUGCCAUAACGAGCGCAACCCCCGCCGGCAGUUGCUAACGGGCAAUGCCGAGGACUCUGCCGGGACUGCCGCCGCAAGGCGUGAGGAAGGCGGGGAUGACGUCAAAUCAGCACGGCCCUUACGUCCGGGGCGACACACGUGUUACAAUGGGCGGUACAGCGGGAAGCCAGGCGGCGACGCCGAGCGGAACCCGAAAGCCGUUCUCAGUUCGGAUCGGAGUCUGCAACCCGACUCCGUGAAGCUGGAUUCGCUAGUAAUCGCGCAUCAGCCAUGGCGCGGUGAAUACGUUCCCGGGCCUUGCACUCACCGCCCGUCA
rnacentral:rRNA from 1 species